CAUUUUUUGAUUUAUUGUAAUAACCAAUUGAAAAAGUAUAUAACUCCCUUUUCUAAGAGUAGCGAGAGGGGCACUCUUUGUCUCCCUUCUGAUGUCUAUGUCAGAAGCUCUCUCUGUCCUCUUGCACUUUAAUAAAACUCUGUUACACAGAAGCUCUUGAGUGAUCAAGUCUGGUCCCUGGUCCUGAAGCUAAAUCUUCUUCUUUGGAGAUCACAAAUCUGACAUCACUCUCCAUAAUCUAUCUUCUUGGGGGCUCGUCUGGGAUCUUCAGGACAAGGUGACCAGGGCAACCGUGAAGGUGAAUAAGUACAUUCAAGAAAAAGUGGCCAGCAAAGCUUCUCAAAAAACUGCCACCUCAAAGAAACUUAAAAUCAGAGGUUCAAAUCUCUGUAGCCAGUGUUCCAAGGUAAAUGAAGAGCUGAAUCAGAACAAACUGGAGGAGAUCCCAGAGAUCAUGGAGACCCCUGCCGAUCCAGCUGGACCAGUGGGCAGCCAGGGACCUCAGAGCAUGGCUAAAGACCUCAGAAAUCUUCAGGGGUCUCACCAUUAAGAAAUGACCAACAGAACAGACAUUGAAACUUAUACCAACAGCAGCAUUAAUAAGGAGAAGUAAAUAAAAUCAACCUGCUGUUAAAUUA